rnacentral:rRNA from 1 species
UAGGCGGAUAUGACCACGGAAUGCAUGUUCUGUGGUGGAAAGAUUUAUCGGUGCGAGAUGGGCCCGCGGCCUAUCAGCUUGUUGGUGAGGUAACGGCUCACCAAGGCGACGACGGGUAGCCGACCUGAGAGGGUGACCGGCCACACUGGGACUGAGACACGGCCCAGACUCCUACGGGAGGCAGCAGUGGGGAAUAUUGCACAAUGGGCGCAAGCCUGAUGCAGCGACGCCGCGUGCGGGAUGACGGCCUUCGGGUUGUAAACCGCUUUUGACAGGGACGAAGCGCAAGUGACUGUACCUGUAGAAUAAGGACCGGCCAACUACGUGCCAGCAGCCGCGGUAAUACGUAGGGUCCGAGCGUUGUCCGGAAUUACUGGGCGUAAAGAGCUUGUAGGCGGUUCGUCGCGUCGUUUGUGAAAACUUGGGGCUCAACCUUAAGCUUGCAGGCGAUACGGGCGGACUAGAGUACUUCAGGGGAGACUGGAAUUCCUGGUGUAGCGGUGAAAUGCGCASAUAUCAGGAGGAACACCGGUGGCGAAGGCGGGUCUCUGGGAAGUAACUGACGCUGAGAARCGAAAGCGUGGGGAGCA